GGUUCCGAUGUUCUUGUGGGGUUCGGUGAUUCAUAGUUAUUUGUUUCUCGUUCUGUUCUAGACUUUACUUCUCUGUGUUUUUUUGCGUUUUCUUCUUCCUUCUCGGUUUUUCAGACCACAAGUCAAAUAUUCGUUGUUAUCAGUUUGGCCAUAUGUAUAUUUAAAUUUACCGGACAUUCGCCCCCAAAAGUUCUCACUUGAAGCUACUGACUUCCGGUGUUGAGCAAAGAAUCUCGAAAGAAGGAAAGCUCUCCAGGUUUGGUCGUUGCUUUAACUGAUUUUCUAAUCUGCUAUUCUAUGACUGUCUUUCCUAUUGUCAUCAUGGAGUUUAUUCUUUUAUGUCAUCAUGAAGUUUACUUUUUAUUCUUUUUCCGUUUGUGUAAAUUUAUAGGAGUUUAAACUGGAGAAUGGUAAAAUCAAUAUAAAGAAAAGAAAAGAAAAGAAGAAGAAAACCCAGUUGCAAUGGAAAAUCCAGUUUCAAAUAAAAAGAAGAAAAAAAACAAGGACAAGGAUAAACUCAACACCGAAGAAAAAAAACUAGAGAAGAAGG
rnacentral:lncRNA from 1 species